rnacentral:rRNA from 1 species
UACGAAGGGGGCUAGCGUUGCUCGGAAUCACUGGGCGUAAAGCGCACGUAGGCGGCUUGUUAAGUCAGGGGUGAAAUCCUGGAGCUCAACUCCAGAACUGCCUUUGAUACUGGCAAUCUUGAGUCCGGAAGAGGUGAGUGGAACUCCUAGUGUAGAGGUGGAAUUCGUAGAUAUUAGGAAGAACACCAGUGGCGAAGGCGGCUCACUGGUCCGGUACUGACGCUGAGGUGCGAAAGCGUGGGGAGCAAACAGG